rnacentral:rRNA from 1 species
UUUGGAGGGCACAGUCUGGUGCCAGCAGCCGCGGUAAUUCCAGCUCCAAUAGCGUAUAUUAAAGUUGUUGCAGUUAAAAAGCUCGUAGUUGAAUUUCGGGGUUAGUAGGUUGGUCAUGCCUCUGGUAUGUACUGGUCUCACUGAUUCCUCCUUCCUGAUGAACCGUAAUGCCAUUAAUUUG